rnacentral:rRNA from 1 species
AUUGAACGCUGGCGGCAGGCCUAACACAUGCAAGUCGAACGAGUGGCGGACGUGUGAGUAAUGUCUGGGAAACUGCCCGAUGGAGGGGGAUAACUACUGGAAACGGUCGCUAAUACCGCAUACCAUCGGAUGUGCCCAGAUGGGAUUAGCUCGUAGGUGGGUUAACGGCUCACCUAGGCGACGAUCCCUAGCUGGUCUGAGAGGAUGACCAGCCACACUGGAACUGAGACACGGUCCAGACUCCUACGGGAGGCAGCAGUGGGGAAUAUUGCACAAUGGGCGCAAGCCUGAUGCAGCCAUGCCGGGUGGAUGAAGAAGGCCUUCGGGUUGUAAAGUACUUUCAGCGGGGAGGCGUUACUCGCAGAAGAAGCACCGGCUAACUCCGUGCCAGCAGCCGCGGUAAUUC